rnacentral:rRNA from 1 species
UACGACUACAUAUCAGGCAUAUCAAUAAGCGGAGGAAAAGAAACUAACAAGGAUUCCCUUAGUAACGGCGAGUGAAGCGGGAAGAGCUCAAAUUUGAAAUCUUCAAGGUUCUACCUUGACGAAUUGUAGUUUAAAGAAGUGUUUUCUGUUGAAGUUUUGGUAAAAGUUCUUUGGAAUAGGACAUCAUAGAGGGUGAGAAUCCCGUAUUUGACCAUUAUUUUCCAGCUGUGUGAUACACUUUCAAAGAGUCGGAUUGUUUGGGAAUGCAGUCCAAAAUGGGUGGUAAAUUUCAUCUAAAGCUAAAUAUUGGCGAGAGACCGAUAGCGAACAAGUACCGUGAGGGAAAGAUGAAAAGAACUUUGAAAAGAGAGUUAAACAGUACGUGAAAUUGUCAAAAGGGAAGCGUUUGACACCAGUGUUGUUUUCUCGAAAAUCAAUUAAAAAAGAGUUGGAUUUUGUGUUGUAUUGACCUUAACAGCUUGCUUCACUCUUUUCCAGCUUUUUUUAAUGCACUUUUCGUUUAACAAGUCAACAUCAGUUUCUUUUGUUGUAAAAGGGUCAUUGGAAGGUGGCUUUCUCUUCGGAGAAAGUGUUUAUAGCCUUUGAUCUCUGCAAUCGGAGAGACUGAGGUCUGCAGCGUAGAUCCUUCGGGGUUAGAUACAUUUGUGCUAAGCUACAGCUUUUCAUAGACAACUUGUUGACUAUGUUUAGUCUUGUGACUUACCCGCUUAUGCUAUUUUACCUACGCUUAGGAUGUUGAGCGCAUGUCUCUCUC